CGUACAACUUUGAGCGGUGGAUCACUCGGCUCGUGUGUCGAUGAAGAGUGCAGCCAACUGUGUGAAUUAAUGUGAACUGCAUACUGCUUUGAACAUCGACAUCUUGAACGCAUAUUGCGGCUACGGGAUAUCCUGUGGCCACGCCUGGCCGAGGGUCGG
rnacentral:rRNA from 3 species